CAGCUGUAAACGAUGCUCGCUAGGUGUCAGGUGCGGUGCGACCGCACCUGGUGCCGCAGUGAAAACUUGAAGCGAGUCACCUGGGAAGUACAGUCGCAAGGCUGAAACUUAAAGGAAUUGGCGGGGGAGCACUACAACGGGUGGAGCCUGCGGUUC
rnacentral:rRNA from 1 species